rnacentral:rRNA from 1 species
GCAAGUCGAACGAGAAAGAGAUUGCUUGCAAUCUCGAGUAGAGUGGCGCACGGGUGAGUAACACGUAGAUAAUCUACCCUCAAGCCCGGAAUAACUAUUCGAAAGGAUGGCUAAUACCGGAUGAAGUUGGUUUACACAAGUAGAUCAAUGAAAGAUUGCCUCUUCUUGAAAGCAAUUGUUUGGGGAUGAGUCUGCGGACCAUUAGUUUGUUGGUGGGGUAAAAGCCUACCAAGACUGCGAUGGUUAGCUGGUCUGAGAGGAUGAUC